AACGCGAAGAACCUUACCUGGGCUCGAAGCGCAGUGGAUAUGGGUGGAAACAUCCCUUUCUCGCAAGAGACUGCUGCGGAGGUGCUGCAUGGCUGUCGUCAGCUCGUGUCGUGAGAUGUUGGGUUAAGUCCCGCAACGAGCGCAACCCUUAUCGUUAGUUGCCAGCGAGUCAAGUCGGGCACUCUAGCGAAACCGCCUCGGAUAACGGGGAGGAAGGUGGGGAUGACGUCAAGUCCUCAUGGCCUUUAUGUCCAGGGCUACACACGUGUUACAAUGCGCGGCACAGACUGUUGCGAACCCGCGAGGGGGAGCUAAUCGGAAAAAACCGCGCUCAGUUCGGAUUGCAGUCUGCAACUCGACUGCAUGAAGCUGGAAUCGCUAGUAAUGGCGUAUCAGAUCGACGCCGUGAAUACGUUCCCGGGCCUUGUACACACCGGAGUGC
rnacentral:rRNA from 1 species